UGCAAGCGUGAUCGAGUGCGGGCUCGACGCAAAUUUAACUCCCAAGAAGUGUCGAGCAUGAAUGAUGUCAGCCUCACCCGGAGACUACACCGCAGCGCUGUGCCAGAAAGACUACGAGCGGUACGAAGAAGAGACGAGAGUUUGCUCCGAGUGGACCCAUUCACGCUUUCGUGCGGCCACAAGGUGACGUGCACUUGUGGCCACGCGUCGGCAGCUCCCAUAUUCGUGAAUUUCUCGUUCCGAGGACGAGUUUGAUUACCCAAGAGCUGUUGAAGUCUUCCGAGGACGAGUUUGAAAUCCCGGGAGCAGAUAAAGUCCAGAAAAAGGCCCUCGUGGAUCACAACUUUUUGAAGAGUGGCUGGUUGUGGGAGCCGUGAAUGAAGAAAUUCGCCGCCGACACCGUGGUCAUCGUCACUCAAUGUGUUCACAAGGCCCCCGUCGACGUCUUGUUCAUGGCCAAGAGUGAUGGAGAGAUCCUUGCCGCGCACUGCACAUGCAUGGCCGGCAACAGCGAAGCCUGCCACUGCGUUGUUAUUCACCGUGGAGUACGACGCACGUGCACGAGAAGAUCGUUCUAAGUUUUUUUUUUUUUAACACGUCUUACUUGAGUGACGACGGCCACGGUGUCGGCGGCGACUUUCUUCACCCACGGCUCCCGCACUCGACCACUCUUCAAAAAGUUGUGACCCUCGAGUGCCUUUCUGGACUUCAUCAUCUGCUCCCGGGUUUUCAAACUCCUCCUCGGAACGAGAAAUUCGUGAAUAUCGGAGCUGUGGAUGCGUGGCCACAACGUUACUUACACAGUCUCCUACACGAAGCGUGAACGGAUACACUCGGAGCGAAUUUUCGUACCACUCGAGGUCUCUUCAGGCGUAGCGCUGCGGUGUAGUCUUCCAGUGAGACUCACAUCGUACUCGACACUUCCUGCAGUAAAAUUUGAGUCGCGCUCACACUCGAUCACGCUUGCAAGCAACGCCAACGCUUGGAAACACGACUGCGCUGCUGCACUCCCAGGCCACCUCUGACAAAAAAAAAAAAAAAAAGGCUGCCUACCCAGUGUGCAUAGCGUCACCACCGUUCAUGCAAGCUCCCUAUACUCCUGUCACACUUGGCAACUUUGUGCGAGUGUACUUAUGCUCACAGAGUGUCAUUUUCAUGGUUUGCUGCUACACGAGAAAACCAAGUGUACUUUAGAAAUAACAGUGGCAAUUGACGGGUUUGUAGUGCAACAUAUAUUGUUUUUUUUUGCGCGUGUGUCUCAUUGUCGGUUGCACGUUGUCUUCGUGGAAGUAGCACCAGUGGCACACACCAUCGCAAAUGACAACAGAACGACUCAUCUACACAUGUGCAAGUGUGCCUGGAAGUAAACAGUGUGACGGACGCAGCCAUUUGCACAGCAUGUGCUGCCGCAUCCCCCCAAGCGAAUGUGGCCGCUAACUGUCCGAGGGUCGGAGUGCUAAGGUUUUUGUAGUAUUAUGACCUGUUUUAAUAAACAGCAGUAUUCCUCAAAA